rnacentral:rRNA from 1 species
GUAGGGAAUAUUGGACAAUGGGGGGAACCCUGAUCCAGCCAUGCCGCGUGGAGGAAGACUGCCCUCUGGGUUGUAAACUCCUUUUAUAUGGGAAGAACCGUCCUCAUUAAUGAGUGACCUGACGGUACCAUAGGAAUAAGCACCGGCUAACUCCGUGCCAGCAGCCGCGGUAAUACGGAGGGUGCAAGCGUUAUCCGGAUUCACUGGGUUUAAAGGGUGCGUAGGCGGAUAAAUAAGUCAGUGGUGAAAUCAACGGGCUCAACCUGUUAACUGCCAUUGAUACUGUGUAUCUUGAAUAUGAGAGAGGUAGGCGGAAUGUUGCAUGUAGCGGUGAAAUGCUUAGAUAUGCUACGGAACACCGAUUGCGAAGGCAGCUUACUAUUUCGUAAUUGACGCUGAGGCACGAAAGCGUGGGUAGCGAACAGGAUUAGAUACCCGGGUGUCC